ACAUUCUCGCACAUAAUUAUUCUAAAAUAGUUGAUUGAAGACUUGUUUUGGAAUUAAUCAAGUUUCAACGGUCAUAUUCCUAAACUUUUUCUAUCAAGGUUUAUUUUUUGUGAAGAUCUUUGUUGAGCUCGCGCAACAAAGAAGAAGAAGAAGAAGAAGAAAAAGUCAUUUUAGGAUUGGAUGUAGCUGCCACAUUGAAAAGAAACUUUUAAGAAGAC
rnacentral:lncRNA from 1 species